rnacentral:rRNA from 1 species
GACGUAGGGCGCGAGCGUUGUCCGGAUUUACUGGGCGUAAAGGGCUCGUAGGCGGCCAACUAAGUCGGAUGUGAAAUCCCCAGGCUUAACCUGGGAACUGCAUCCGAUACUGGAUGGCUUGAAUUCGGGAGAGGGAUGCAGAAUUCCAGGUGUAGCGGUGAAAUGCGUAGAUAUCUGGAGGAAUACCGGUGGCGAAGGCGGCAUCCUGGACCGACAUUGACGCUGAAAACCGAAAGCUAGGGGAGCAAACGGG